UGGCGCAGCGGGGAUUUCCAUCCGUCUGCAGCCUGUCACAGUGGAGCACGAUCUCUUCAUUUGUUCACAUGCUAAAGCUGUCAAACCGGUGGUCAUACUCUGUCGGACCUCUUUCACGAAGCCCUCAGCGCAGAUCAGACCAACAAUAUCGACACUUUGGUUCAAAAGCUUCGCGGUGUUGCCAAAGUCUGAGAUGAAAAGGGAUGAAAGGCAUGGAUAUUUUCAACGGUACUUCUGAUUCUUUGCAUGAAUUAUCCUGGGAGGCAGAACCGGCAUUGUCCCUGCCCAGACCUGAGCCUCCUCCUGACCAGCAGCUCACAGAUCAUAGUCUCUCUGACAUUGAUUUGCCAGUGUUUCCUCUGAGGAGCCCUCUGCACCGGGAGCUGUGGUUGGCUGUGGCUGCUGGGCCCUGGCUCGUGGGCCCUGGAGGUUUGGUCUUGACCUCAUCUCUUCUCGGGGCCCUGGGCUGGUGUCCUGUGGCUGUGGGUGACCCUGUUCCUGGUGCAGAUGGUUCUUCUGGUGGCGCUCUCUCAUCUGGUUCAUCUUUAUCCAGC
ensembl:lncRNA